rnacentral:lncRNA from 1 species
CGCCUCUUUCCCCUGCUCACUGAUUUUCAGAAAAUAAAGCAAAGCUUUAGUUUGCUCUUCUUUUCUUCUCUGCUUUUGUUGAUUUCCAAUCUUGAACGGAGGCAAUUUAUUUUAUACCGCUGUUUAAAGUUAGUUCGAGACAGCGAGGUCGAGGUCGGAGCCUGUCAGACUUGAGACCUUAGCCCCGGUUCACUGCCCUGAAGGUCAGCAACCUCCUCUUUUUACUUUCGAUUCAAGUAUUAUUUAGUUGUAAUCCUCGCUUCCAAAUGUGUUAGUUUCAUUUCUUUUCAUUUAGAUACCAUGGCAGUAUGUAUCCUUAUUUUGUAGUCCAUUGACUCAAGUUCGUUUUUUUGUACUUGUUGCGUUGGUUAGAAGUCAUGGCUUAAUCUGUAUACAUUAGAUUCUGAUUUAGGUACCGCCAUGGAUUAAAAAUAUCAUCUGUUCAUAUUUCCUUAUAGAAGACUUGUAAUUUAGUUGCUAUAGGAACGGGGAAAACCCUCAUAUUUCCUUAAACUUUGGAAAUCAGUUCAAUAGAAUAUGUUUCUUAGACCUCUCAGUUUAUGCUAAAUAGGAACGGGGAAAACCCUCACUAACUUAGACCUGAAGGUUAUUAAAAAUGCUUAAUCUUAGGACAUUAAUCUGAUUACUUUUACUUUGAAUGAUCGGAAUAAUGACUUUAAGGUUGAAUGAACAUGUCAUGCCUAUAGGAUCUAUAACACUAUCAAAGGAAAUAUUGAGCAUGCAAUUCUAUCAUGUUAGGCCUGAAUAGUUCGAGUGAUCUUUAUGAUGUAAAAAGCAUGAGAACCUGGAUAUAUAUGCACCUCAUUGCUGUCCAUGUAGUCAGUUAGGUGUUAAUAAAAGGCAUAUAAAAUUCUGUUCAGUAUGUCAAAUUUGCACUAAGAAAUUUAAUAAGACGGGUUUUAAAGGGACUAUGUCUUUGUGAAGUUAAUGAGUCUGGCAAAGAAUCUUUUGUAGGAUGAAAUAAUUUAUUAAUAGUAGUAUGUAUUUUAGUUGCUCUGAAGCCUUAAAAUUGAAAGUUAGUUUAGAAUGUAUUUAUGUAUGUUGACUGCAAAUAUGUGUAAAUGAACUGAAGCUACUUAGCUAUUUUUUCUAGUAGUUUGAUAUGUAAAUUUCUAUUUCAUGCUACAAGCUGUUCCGCUAAUUCUUUUACUUCCCUUUUUCUUUGCAUGUCAUACACACCUGCAAAUAUGUAUUUAUGUCUCAGGAGAGACUCAACGCCGCUGCCGAACCAAACUCAACACCAAUCUCCUCUCAUUUCUUGAAUAGCGGGACUCUGAGAUUUGUCCUUCCGAAGAAUAGGAUAUUGAAAUUGCUUGUUUAUUUUGACUUAUUCCAUCUACUUUGGAUUCACUUUCUGCUGACUAACAUUUCAUUUGUAUGUUUUUGCCCGAGGUUGUUUCUUUUUGCAGCCUUAAAUUACUCAGAAUGUUACCUCUAAUUAAUAGUAGAGAUAUUUAUAGAAUAUAAGGUUGAGGGG